UUGUUUUUUUUAGAUGCAAAUUUCUAAGCUUAAAAAAAGUAUAUAUAAACAAAUUCUACCUAUUUUACCGUCCAGUAGACACUUCUAACAGCUCUUUAAGUACAUCUUGGUUAUGUUCUAUUUGUUUACUUUUUUUUUCUGUUUAUGUUUGUUUUUUUUUAAAUAUAAUUCUGAUAUUUUAAAUUUACUUUUAAAUAAAUUGGCUAUGUCUAGAAAUAUAGUGGAAUAACAAAUAUGGAUGAAUUAGAUUUAAAUGAGAUUGCUGAGGAACUUUUAAAUGAAUCUAUUGGGGAAGAAGAAACUCUCUGUAAUCCUCCUACAGACUGCAAGAACCAAGAACCUGAGACUUCUCUCCCAAAACUACCUAAAAACUCAGCCAGUCCACAUACCCUCCUAGUGAAUCCCAAACAAAGGGGAAAUCCAAUUUUAAAAUCAAUUUUACAUGUGGCAUGGGAAUAUGAUGAUAUAGUUCCAGAUUACCAAAUGGGACUGCAGACAUGUGCAUUGUUUUUGUCAUUGAGAUACCAUAAUUUAAAUCCAGAUUAUAUUCAUGAGAGACUUAAGACUCUGAAGGAUAUGUACAAGUUAAGAAUAUUAUUAGUGCAGGUUGAUAUUAAAGAUCCUCACCAUGCAUUAAAAAAUCUAACCAGGAUCUGUAUAUUGGCGAGCAUGACAUUAAUCUUAGCAUGGAGUCCUGAAGAAGCAGGAAAAAUAAUCGAAACAUACAAGAUAUUUGAAAAUAAACCACCUGAUAAUGUUAUGGGAAAAUCGGAAUCCUCACCAUAUUUAAGAAUUAUCCAAGCUUUAGCCUCUAUAAAGCCAGUGAAUAAAACUGAUGCCAUGAAUCUCAUUACUCGCUUUAAAUCUUUAGAGGGGAUUAUUAAAGCUACAGAAUUCCAAUUAUCUGAAUGUCCAGGAUUGGGACCUAGAAAGGCGAAAAAACUUUAUAAAGCCCUUAGAGAAAAUUUUUGUAAAUAAGCACAAGAUGUUUGAAAAUAUUUUCUUAUUAAUAAGAUAUUUCCAAAGGUGAUAUUAUGGUUAUGUUGACGGGGUUUAUCUUUUGUCAGUAACUGAGAGUAAAGAGCGCCGAUUGGAAAAAGUCGCCGGACAGACCUUUUUGCCAAGGGAUGAAGUAAUUUGUAAUGUACCUAUAUUAUCUUUAUUUGGUUUCUAACAAUGUAUUGACUCUUUAUGUAAAUAAAUUACUUUUCAAUUUGAAAUAA